rnacentral:lncRNA from 1 species
GUAGUUCUCUAGAAAAUAUGGUUGCCAAGUGGAAAGUUAAACACUGUCUCUGAUUGAUAGAUGUUGAAUAUGCCAUAUCUGUAGUAUUUUAAUGUGCAUCUACUUUAAUAAUCUUGGAAUGUUUGUAAUUCCCUUGUUUUUGGCCCUCUCUGUGUUUGAGAUAGCAAAAUGACUUAAUCCCAUAGAUUAGUUCAUUUAUUGUAGGUAGAAAAGUACAUAUACCGGAAAACCUCAAUUAAUAAAAUAUGCAGUACAAGUAUAUUUACAUGGAUUUAUAUAUAGGGAAUCAAUAAAAUUAUUUUCAACUUUUAUAGUUGUAAAAUAUUUUAAUACAGGAUGCAAAGCCACUAAGAAAGCAUUAUUUUAGCAUUUUCAAAUAUUUCAUUUGGUAUAAAUGUGAGAUAAAAGAGCUACAACACCUAAGAUUAAUGAAAUUAAAGUAGCACAUUUUGGAUAGUAUUUUCAUAAGCAACAUUUAAAAGAAAUUGCUAGAAUGUAGCAACAAAAAUGGAUGAGUUGG